UGGGGAAAACCUUAACCAAGGGGGAUUCCCCUUAGUAACUGCGAGUGAAGCGGGAAAAGCUCAAAUUUGAAAUCUUGUAGUCUUUUUUUUCUUCUUUGGCUGUCCGAGUUGUAAUCUAGAGAAGUGCUUACCUGUGCUGGACCAUGUAUAAGUCUCCUGGAAUGGAGCGUCACAGAGGGUGAGAAUCCCGUCUUUGACAUGGACUGCUAGCAUGUUGUGGUGUGCUCUCAAAGAGUCGAGUUGUUUGGGAAUGCAGCUCUAAAUGGGUGGUAAACUCCAUCUAAAGCUAAAUAUUGGCGAGAGACCGAUAGCGAACAAGUACCGUGAGGGAAAGAUGAAAAGGACUUUGGAAAGAGAGUUAAACAGUAUGUGAAAUUGUUGAAAGGGAAACACUUGAAGUCAGUUAUGUUGGCUAGGGAUCAACCUAGCUGUUUGCUGGGUGAUUUUCCUGGUCUGACAGGCCAACAUCAGUCUUGGCUGCUGGAAAAGAGCAGAGGGAAUGUGGCACCUUUGGGUGUGUUAUAGCCCUUUGUCACAUGUGGCAGUUGGGACUGAGGGAUGCAGCGUGCCGCGAGGCUGGGUUUCGACCACGUUCACGCUUAGGAUGUUGGCUUAUAAUGGCUUCAAUUGACCCGUCUUGAAACACGGACCAAGGAGUCUAACAUGCCUGCAAGUGUUUGGGUGGGGAAAACCCUUGUGCACAAUGAAAGUGAAAGUUGAGAUCCCUGUCAUGGGGAGCAUCGACGCCCGGACCUGAGCUUUUAGCGACGGAUCUGCGGUAGAGCAUGCAUGUUGGGACCCGAAAGAUGGUGAACUAUGCCUGAAUAGGGCAAAGCCAGAGGAAACUCUGGUGGAGGCUAAGGAGGGAUUCUGACGUGCAAAUCGAUCGUCAAAUUUGGGUAUAGGGGCCGAAAAGACCUAAUUCUGGUACCCCCG
rnacentral:rRNA from 1 species